rnacentral:misc_RNA from 1 species
GUUGAAGAAGAUAAGGCUUUUCUUUUUCUAUUUGCUGUUGAUUACCCAAAAUUUUCCAUGGCUGUGCACCUUAUGGUUCUGGUUAUUCCCAAUUAGAAAGCUCUUUGCUUUUGCUCGCUCGCUAGGAAAUAUGGAACUGGCCAGCACUUCAAAUGCUAGUAGCAUUUUGUGGUUCUUCAGGGAUAGAGGUUUUGAUGAUAAGAGCAUUCAUGAAUUGUUUAGAAAGUGCAAGCGCCUCGAGGACAUUCAAAAGGAAAGAGCAUCUGAAAAUUGGUCUUACCUGAAAAGCAUUGGCAUUCAAGAGAGAAGGCUUCCUUAUGUUAUUUCGAAGUGCCCCAAAAUCCUUACUCUAGGCCUCAACGAGAAGCUCAUCCCAAUGGUUGAAUGCCUUGCUACACUAGCCACAAAACGACGUGAAGUUGCUUCUGCCAUAACCAAGUUCCCUCACAUACUUUCUCAUAGUCUUGAAGAGAAGCUUUGCCCACUUUUGGCAUUCUUUCAGGCACUAGGUGUUCCUGAAAAGCAACUUGGCAAGAUUAUAUUGCUCAACCCACGGCUAAUUAGUUACAGCAUUAAUCCCAAGCUAACAGAGAUUGUGGACUUUCUUGCUGGUCUUGGCCUUAACAAGGACGGAAUGAUUGGUAAAGUCCUGGUGAAACACCCCUUCAUAAUGGGUUAUAGUGUCGACAAAAGACUACGUCCUACGUUGGAGUUUAUGAAGUCUGUUGGCCUGACAGAGUUGAAUCUUCAAACAGUGGUCAUGAACUUCCCUGAAGUUUUGUGUAGAGAUGUGAACAAGAGCCUGCAGCCCAAUCUAACUUAUUUAAAGAGAUGUGGAUUUGAGGAUCGACAAAUAGCAGCUAUCGUGACUGGUUAUCCCCUUAUUCUGAUCAAGAGUAUUAGAAAUUCUUUGGAACCUAGGAUCAAAUUUUUGGUAGAAGUAAUGGGGAGACAAAUUGAUGAAGCUGCUGAUUAUCCCAGCUUCUUUCAGCACAGUUUGAAGAAGACUGUGGAGUCUAGGCACAAACUUUUGAAACAGAAAAAAGUAGAAUGUAGCUUGAGAGAGAUGCUGGAUUGUAAUCAAAAGAAGUUCUUAAUGAAGUUUGGUUUAGACUAGUUUGUUCUUGCAGUUGCUUUUAUCUGUGAGUAAAUUCAACUUGUACAUGGAUUUGCGCCGAUCUAUGAGAAUUCAAGUUUCCUGGCUC